rnacentral:rRNA from 1 species
AGUGAACGCUGGCGGUAGGCCUAACACAUGCAAGUCGAACGGCAGCACAGUAAGAGCUUGCUCUUACGGGUGGCGAGUGGCGGACGGGUGAGGAAUACAUCGGAAUCUACUUUUUCGUGGGGGAUAACGUAGGGAAACUUACGCUAAUACCGCAUACGACCUACGGGUGAAAGCAGGGGAUCUUCGGACCUUGCGCGAUUGAAUGAGCCGAUGUCGGAUUAGCUAGUUGGCGGGGUAAAGGCCCACCAAGGCGACGAUCCGUAGCUGGUCUGAGAGGAUGGUCAGCCACACUGGAACUGAGACACGGUCCAGACUCCUACGGGAGGCAGCAGUGGGGAAUAUUGGACAAUAGGCGCAAGCCUGAUCCAGCCAUACCGCGUGGGUGAAGAAGGCCUUCGGGUUGUAAAGCCCUUUUGUUGGGAAAGAAAAGCAGCAGGUUAAUACCCCGCUGUUCUGACGGUACCCAAAGAAUAAGCACCGGCUAACUUCGUG